rnacentral:rRNA from 1 species
UACUACAGAAAAUGACUGAGCGGCGAACGGGUGAGUAACGCGUGAGCAAUCUACCUUAGUUACAGGGAUAGCCCGAGGAAACUCGGAUUAAUACCUGAUAUUCUUUACAUUUCGCAUGAAAUCAAAAGGAAAGGUCAGCCGAACUAAGAUGAGCUCGCGUUCUAUCAGCUAGUUGGUGAGGUAAAAGCUCACCAAGGCAACGACGGAUAGCUGGUCUGAGAGGACGAUCAGCCACACUGGGACUGAGACACGGCCCAGACUCCUACGGGAGGCUGCAGCAGGGAAUAUUGCGCAAUGAGCGAAAGCUUGACGCAGCGACACCGCGUGUGGGAUGACGGAUCUAGGUUUGUAAACCACUUUCAGGAGGGAAGAAAAUGACGGUACCUCCACAAGAAGCCCCGGCCAACUACGUGCCAGCAGCCGCGGUAAUACGUAGGGGGCGAGCGUUGUCCGGAUUUAUUGGGCGUAAAGAGCUCGUAGGCGGUUCAACAAGUCGGUCGUGAAAGUUCAGGGCUCAACCCUGAAAUGUCGAUCGAUACUGUUGUGACUAGGAUACGGUAGAGGUGAGUGGAAUUCCGAGUGUAGCG